UGGGGAAUUUUGGACAAUGGGCGAAAGCCUGAUCCAGCAAUGCCGCGUGUGUGAAGAAGGCCUUCGGGUUGUAAAGCACUUUUGUCCGGAAAGAAAUCCUUGGCUCUAAUACAGUCGGGGGAUGACGGUACCGGAAGAAUAAGCACCGGCUAACUACGUGCCAGCAGCCGCGGUAAUACGUAGGGUGCAAGCGUUAAUCGGAAUUACUGGGCGUAAAGCGUGCGCAGGCGGUUUGCUAAGACCGAUGUGAAAUCCCCGGGCUCAACCUGGGAACUGCAUUGGUGACUGGCAGGCUAGAGUAUGGCAGAGGGGGGUUAGAAUUCCACGUGUAGCAGUGAAAUGCGUAGAGAUGUGGAGGAAUACCGAUGGCGAAGGCAGCCCCCUGGGCCAAUACUGACGCUCAUGCACGAAAGCGUGGGGAGCAAACAGGAUUAGAUACCCUGGUAGUCCACGCCCUAAACGAUGUCAACUAGUUGUUGGGGAUUCAUUUCCUUAGUAACGUAGCUAACGCGUGAAGUUGACCGCCUGGGGAGUACGGUCGCAAGGUUAAAAGCUUAAAUGAAUUGACGGGGUCAUAGCUGUUUCCU
rnacentral:rRNA from 1 species